UACGUAGGGGGCUAGCGUUAUCCGGAAUUACUGGGCGUAAAGGGUGCGUAGGUGGUUUCUUAAGUCAGAGGUGAAAGGCUACGGCUCAACCGUAGUAAGCCCUUGAAACUGGGAAACUUGAGUGCAGGAGAGGAGAGUGGAAUUCCUAGUGUAGCGGUGAAAUGCGUAGAUAUCUGGAGGAACACCGAUGGCGAAGGCAGCCCCUGGGCCUGUACUGACGCUCAUGCACGAAAGCGUGGGGAGCAAACAGGAUUAGAUACCCUGGUAGUCCCUGA
rnacentral:rRNA from 1 species